CAGGCCUAACACAUGCAAGUCGAGCGGUAGAGAGAAGCUUGCUUCUCUUGAGAGCGGCGGACGGGUGAGUAACGCGUAGGAAUCUACCUGGUAGUGGGGGACAACAUUCGGAAACGGAUGCUAAUACCGCAUACGCCCUACGGGGGAAAGGAGGGGAUCUUCGGACCUUUCGCUAUCAGAUGAGCCUGCGUAGGAUUAGCUAGUUGGUGGGGUAAAGGCCCACCAAGGCGACGAUCCUUAGCUGGUCUGAGAGGAUGACCAGCCACACUGGGACUGAGACACGGCCCAGACU
rnacentral:rRNA from 1 species